UCGAGGAUUACUACCAUCAAAUUCUUAUCUUCUUCCUCUUCUGAUUUCUGUACGAUUGCGAAGAGGUUGAAGUUUGCUCUCUUGGCUCGAAGAACGACUUGACCAUGUUGGUUCCUAUAGCAGAAGACAGCCGCAUAAGCGAACAAGUCCUGAGGAAGAAGGUAUUUUCCUGUCCAACUUCCAUUUGCAUAAACCAGUAGCAUGACACAUUCAGGGCCGCCCGGAUCAUCAUCGCUGUUGAAAGCUGAGGCCUUUACUCUUAUAGAUCUGCCUGGUUCGAUCCUAACAAUUUUCCUGAACCUAUCAGGCCUAGAGCCAUCCACCCACAUCUUGAUUUCUAUGUUGAACCAAGUCCUGUUUUCUAGGAUGGUAACCUUAUUUCCCAUUUUCCGACGGAGAGGGGAAGUUCCAGGUGCUCGUGUGCAGGUGUAAUAGGGAAGUAGAAACGGAGCAAAAGGAAAAAGAUGAAAACUUUUAUGGGAUGCAAAUGCAAGUACUUGUGGAUAUAUUCCAUCCUUUUCUGUCCUCCAAAGAGUGAGGAAGAAAAGGAAGAACAACCUCUGUGAAAUUUGUGGAGGAUGGCAAAAAAUUGUGGUAUAAACUUGUUGAAAAAAGGAUGAGAGGCAUUGGCAGUGUGAGGAGGGACGUAAAAGAAAAGAAGAAAGGUGUGCGAAAAAGUGCAAGUUGAAAUACUGAUACUGAAAUGAUUAUGGUCAUUACUGUAAUGAUUAAAAUGUUAAGAAAAAGCUAGAGAUUGAGUUUCAAGAAAAGACCCUUGGGUUACUUGGCGCUAACAUAGGCAUUGGUCAUUUAAGUUUCCUAUUCUUUGGGAAAUUCACUAUUAUUUGACCAUUUCAAUAUUCUUUUACCAUACUAGAGCUACUGUGUUUGGUUGACUGUAUCAUUGAUAGCUAUUUAAUGUAACUUGUCUUUACUCC